UAACAUAUAGCAGUUUUGGCGAUUGAUUCACUGAUUCUUAUUUAUAUUAAAUAUAGUUGAGGAUAUUUACUGUAUGGAGCUGAUGAAUAAUUUUUUUCCUGCUGGUCAAAGGUUGUAUGGUUUCGCCAUAUGUUUGGUUGCGGGUCUAGCAUGCACUUUCCUGGUAAACAUAAUGAUCUUGCCAUUUCUCACUCGAUACUUCUUUACUCUCCUUUUCUUUAAUACUGAUCUGCACCUUUUUCUAUAAGAACAGU
rnacentral:lncRNA from 1 species